UUUUCCGUCGCGAGUUUAGUUUGCAUUACCUGAGAAAUAAGUGUACCGUGCACGAGGACGCGGAGGUUCGCCGAAUGGUUCCGCAGAAAGCGAUAUUCAACCGGAAAGCUUGCGAACAUGAAGUGAGGGAAUCGAGUCGCCUUCAGGGAUGAACUCCUGACGAGAGAGC